rnacentral:tRNA from 2 species
ACCUGGCUGGCUCCGUUGGGAGAGCAUGUGAUUCUCAAUCUCAGGGUUGUGAGUUCGAGCCCCAUGUCAGGUG